GAAAGGCUUCUUCCAGCACCUCUGACUUCAGAGAACUUGCUUCCUGUUGGUUCACGCUGCCUACUAGUCCCACAGCCCAUCACUUCCCCCUUGUGCCAUAACAUUGAGAAAUGCAAGUUCGUACUGCACAGAAGGGCAGAGGAAGCUGCUGUCAUCCAAGGAAUCUGUACUGAAAGAAGAGUACGGAAACACAAUACACAAUGCUAUCAAGAUCAGAAAAUUAAGGGCUCAGCAGAAACACUGUCUUGAUAAAACAUUCUGCCUGAUCUACAGAAGAGGUAUUUUUGCUGGAAGGUCAAGAAUGCAUUCUGUCAUGCAAGGAGAACAGGUAAGAAGACGAAUCACCAGAAG